rnacentral:rRNA from 1 species
GUCGUUUGACACUCUAGAGAAGAGCUUCCCCUUCGGGGGCAAAGUGACAGGUGGUGCAUGGUUGUCGUCAGCUCGUGUCGUGAGAUGUUGGGUUAAGUCCCGCAACGAGCGCAACCCUUAUUGUUAGUUGCCAUCAUUCAGUUGGGCACUCUAGCAAGACUGCCGGUGACAAACCGGAGGAAGGUGGGGAUGACGUCAAAUCAUCAUGCCCCUUAUGACCUGGGCUACACACGUGCUACAAUGGGAAGUACAACGAGUUGCGAAGUCGCGAGGCUAAGCUAAUCUCUUAAAGCUUCUCUCAGUUCGGAUUGCAGGCUGCAACUCGCCUGCAUGAAGCCGGAAUCGCUAGUAAUCGCGGAUCAGCACGCCGCGGUGAAUACGUUCCCGGGUCUGGAACACACCGA